rnacentral:rRNA from 1 species
CUGACAUGCGUGCGAGUCGACGGGUUCUGAAACCUGGGAUGCGCAAGGAAGCUGACGAGCGGGAGGCCCUCACGGGCCGCACCGCUGGCCGACCCUGAUCUUCUGUGAAGGGUUCAAGUUGGAGCACGCCUAUCGGGACCCGAAAGAUGGUGAACUAUGCCUGAGCGGGGCGAAGCCAGAGGAAACUCUGGUGGAGGCUCGAAGCGAUACUGACGUGCAAAUCGUUCGUCUGACUUGGGUAUAGGGGCGAAAGACUAAUCGAACCAUCUAGUAGCUGG